GAUGAACGCUGGCGGCGUGCCUAAUACAUGCAAGUCGAACGAAUGGAUUAAGAGCUUGCUCUUAUGAAGUUAGCGGCGGACGGGUGAGUAACACGUGGGUAACCUGCCCAUAAGACUGGGAUAACUCCGGGAAACCGGGGCUAAUACCGGAUAACAUUUUGAACCGCAUGGUUCGAAAUUGAAAGGCGGCCUCGGCUGUCACUUAUGGAUGGACCCGCGUCGCAUUAGCUAGUUGGGGAGGUAACGGCUCACCAAGGCAACGAUGCGUAGCCGACCUGAGAGGGUGAUCGGCCACACUGGGACUGAGACACGGCCCAGACUCCUACGGGAGGCAGCAGUAGGGAAUCUUCCGCAAUGGACGAAAGUCUGACGGAGCAACGCCGCGUGAGUGAUGAAGGCUUUCGGGUCGUAAAACUCUGUUGUUAGGGAAGAACAAGUGCUAGUUGAAUAAGCUGGCACCUUGACGGUACCUAACCAGAAAGCCACGGCUAACUACGUGCCAGCAGCCGCAGUAA
rnacentral:rRNA from 1 species